ACCCUUGAAUAUCUCUAACCCCUGAUCCACUGGGGAGGCUGAUUUGAGAGGCCAGAAGAACUUGCCUGGCAAUUAUGAGUGGAUGGAGGAACUGCCUAUCCCUGUCCCAUUGUCUUGUCCACAGGUCAGCCUCACAAAGGGAAAGAGCCCUGGAUGGGAAUACAGUGGAAGCUCAUUCUCUUAGUGACCUGGGGACAUUGGCUCGAGAUGAAGCCUGGCAGGAGUGGCAACUCCAGGUGAUUUCUGCACCUUUCCUAUUUCCUGGGAGGUGGGCCAGGCCACAGUGUUAGCGGGAAGGGAACAGAACAGCCAGCCUAGUUAGAGGGAGUGUCUGGGGAAGGCCUAGGGUUGGAGGAAGAAGCUGUGCAGGACAGGGCUUGCCAGUCAGAAUGAAGUGGGAGGAAGAUGAGGGACACAGAGAAGCAGAGAGAGGCAGAGACACCAUGGCAGUGAGCAGUGAGGGAGACACUGACUUCAAAAACCCCAGGGACCAGGUGCCCCCAGCUCCACAGUCCAGGACCAAAGAGCCCUGAGAACCCUCCGGUGGCCAAAGAACUUCAGAGUUGCAUGAGGUGGGGUGGCUUUAGGGUCAAGAGGUAGUGGGGGGAUGAAACAUGGGUGUCAGCCUCUGAAGGACAAGGGACAGGUGUGGCUAGAACCUCCUAGGAUUCUGAUUCCAAGAUCCAGUCUCUAAAGAGGUUUUGGAUCAUCCAUUUCUUCAUUCCAUUCCUUCAUUUGUUAUGUGAGAGCUCCUGAGUGUGUCUCUCUCACUGGGCCUGUGCUGAGGCAGGGUGUGAGUGGGGAAAGAAAACAAGGUCCUCUCCUUGAUCCUCUCAUGACGGUGACAUGGACACUUGGGAAACACAGGAUUUCACAUUCAGUGAUGGAGGUUAAGAUCUGAGGGGGAGACCUGGACAUUUUUUUUGCACUGACUCUGGCGGUUGAAGCCAGUGAUUUAGUUCUGGAGUACAGACUAAUCAGCUGACCAUUUGCUCUCACUCCUCUGAGGUUUGGAUGCCUAAGAAGAGAGGAUUUGAGUCAAUAAAUGACUAUGGGGUCCUUGGAACCCAGUAAGCCCUCACUUCUGGUAGAGGAGAGGAUGGGCCUGUGGCUGCAGACAGACCUCAUGUGACCCCGAUCUCCCCUUUGUGUUUGUGUGACUGUGGCUCAGUGACUGUGCCUUCCUGUGCCUCAGUUUUCUCUCAAUCAAAUGAGCUAAAUGGCAAAUGGACUGUGGCUUUUCAUGCUAUCUGUGAAUAAAUGUUAAAGUAUUCACAGUCAACUGACUUAAUGCUUGGCACAGUGGAGGUGUUCACACAAACAGCAUUUAUUAUUAAUUUGCUUCCAUGAGAAAGCACCUUUGCGUCAGAUCCCUGUGGACAAACGGCUACCUGGUGCAUCUUCUCUCUUCUGUUUCUGCUUCUGGGGAUAUUAGACUUUCUAUGGAGUGUCCUAGGCCUCCUAAGGCAGUUGGCUGAUGGCCUACAAAGCUUGUCUUUCUGUCCUCUCCACUCUGAGUGUCAGGUGAAGAAAGCUCUGUCCUUGCCCAGAUGAGGCUCUGAGGACUGAGCCCUGGCUGGUGAACAGCUCCAGGAGACACAGUCCUCAGACAGCUGGUAAAUCCUUGGUCCCAGUAAGCCCUGCCAAAGAAGCCACAACCCAGUCCUGGCACAGGCUCCUCAGCUUUACCUGGAGCAAGGAUUUAGGGACAGGGGUCUGGGGUUGAGGCUUCUAGGGCUGAGCUUCUC
rnacentral:lncRNA from 1 species